CUGGGAAGUUAAUCGUUUCGUACGUUCCUCGCGGUCGUCAUUCGCGGUGGAAGCCGACCGCUGCAUGCCCGUGGGUUUACAGUGCUUCCUCAUUGUUGUGGUGACGUCACCAUAAAAGUAAGCCCGGUCGACGUGCUUGGAUAUGUCUGGGGCCCUUGACUUGUGGCCUUCUGGAUA